GACCGGGUCGUUACAGCAGCAGACGGAGGUUAGCCUGUUAGCUUCAGCUAACUACAACAGAAUGUGCUGGAGAGCACGUAGUGACUACUGCGCGUGCGUGACAGAAAGUUUACGGUCAUACGGCGAGCGAAGAGGUGAGAGCUCCACCUUCCGUCUGUGGUCCAGUACAGAUCCAGAACCAGUUCUGUGAGAGGAACCCAGCAGGUGGCGAUGACGCCCAGGAGGACCGCCGUGACUGACCCCGCCCACCGCCACCCUCCAUUACACAGCGACCAAUCACAGCAAGACACCGAGACUCCAGGAAGCUCCGUCUGCUGACAGUGACGAGACGUUGCACAACCCCGAGACAGGACCAGGUCCAGAGACUCUACAGACAGACAGACAGACAGAGGAGAGACAGGGCAGUGAGACAGCAGAGGAGCAGCUGAGAGGACGACAUGCUGAGAGAGAGAGACAGCCUGAGAGAGAGACAGACUGAGCACUGUCUUCCUCCACCGAGAUGAAGCUGUUCUACAAUCUGACAUUUUAAAGGCCGAGCUGUAUAUUCAUCAGUGCCAGAGAAUACCCAGCAUGCACCACUUCCACCAACCUUCACAUUAACUUGUAUCUGAAUAAAACUACAAACACAAA